AUUGAACGCUGGCGGCAGGCCUAACACAUGCAAGUCGAGCGGAUGAAGGGAGCUUGCUCCUGGAUUCAGCGGCGGACGGGUGAGUAAUGCCUAGGAAUCUGCCUGGUAGUGGGGGAUAACGUCCGGAAACGGGCGCUAAUACCGCAUACGUCCUGAGGGAGAAAGUGGGGGAUCUUCGGACCUCACGCUAUCAGAUGAGCCUAGGUCGGAUUAGCUAGUUGGUGGGGUAAAGGCCUACCAAGGCGACGAUCCGUAACUGGUCUGAGAGGAUGAUCAGUCACACUGGAACUGAGACACGGUCCAGACUCCUACGGGAGGCAGCAGUGGGGAAUAUUGGACAAUGGGCGAAAGCCUGAUCCAGCCAUGCCGCGGGUGUGAAGAAGGUCUUCGGAUUGUAAAGCACUUUAAGUUGGGAGGAAGGGCAGUAAGUUAAUACCUUGCUGUUUUGACGUUACCAACAGAAUAAGCACCGGCUAACUUCGU
rnacentral:rRNA from 1 species